GAACACGUCGGGUCGCUCUCCCCUGGCGUGUCCUCUUUCCAUUUUCAGGCCCGCCUCUCUCGAUUUCGGUCGGCCAAAUUCAAUCGAACGAAAAUCGACACCACCAUCCCCCCCGAAAAAUUAGGGUUCAUCAGUCGCCGUCGAUGAUGCCCGCUCAAUGGAACAGUUUCCGCCCUUGAGCAGCUGCUCCUCCUCCUCCUCCGGCGUUCGUUUCCGGCUCGGGCCCCGUCGUCGCCGGCGCUAGGUUUUUUCCCCCGGCGUUCUUCCCCCGUGUGAUUUUUUCCGGUCGUUUUGUGUUUCCGUCGCUCCCGGCCGGUUCGUCUAUGGCGAGCGCGAAUCCGGCGCACUUGCGGGCGCGCGGCGGGCCGGUGAGGGUCGAGGAGGCGGAGGAGGACGACGAGGAGGAGCUCGAGGACGGGGGCACCGACGACGGCGCCGAUGAGGUGGAGGUGGAGGCCGGUGGAGUUUAUGCGGAUUCCGUGGGGGGGGACUAUGACCGCCGUCGGCGUCGUCGCCGCGGUAGUAUCGCGAGUGGCGGCGGGACGAGGGGUGGUGUCGUGGCGCCUUCGAGGACGAGCGAGCUCACGCUCUCUUUCGAAGGGGAAGUGUACGUGUUCCCGGCUGUUACGCACGAAAAGGUGCAGGCAGUGCUUUUGCUUCUAGGAGGACCCGAUGUACCAACCGCUGUGCCUACAUUUGAAGUCCCUUAUGCUCAAAGUACUAUGGAUGUGGUUGACACGUCAAAGCGGUCUAAUCUUUCCAGAAGAAUAGCCUCUUUGGUUAGGUUUCGGGAGAAGCGCAAGGAGAGAUGUUUUGACAAGAAGAUUAGGUAUACUGUGCGAAAAGAGGUUGCCCAGAGGAUGCAUCGGAAAAAUGGGCAGUUUGCUUCAAUAAAAGAAGGUUCAGGUGCCAGUAGUUUGGAUUUAGCCCAAAGUUGUCAUCAGGAUGGUACUCCCCCUCCAGAAACUGUUGCCCGGAGAUGUCAACAUUGUGGUGUUAGUGAAAAUGCAACUCCUGCUAUGCGUCGUGGGCCAGCUGGACCAAGGACUUUAUGUAAUGCCUGUGGUUUAAUGUGGGCGAAUAAGGGAACAUUGAGGGAUCUCAGUAAGGGAGGAAGAAAUCUUUCUCUAGACCAAAGUGAACUGGGAACCCCAGAUGUCAAGCCUUUGAUUAUUGAUGGUCAACAUUUCUCUAGCAAUAAGGAUGAUCUUUCCAUGCAGGUAAUUUCUGGAGAGACUUCUACAGCUGACAUUAAGAGAUUAUCUGAUCCUUCAAUCAACCCCAGUGGUGAAGUAGACGAUCAAAUGGACUUUCGUGAAACUGCUGCCGAUCUAACAAGCACGUUGCCCAUGGGAAUCAUGCAUUCUUCAGCUGAUGAUGAUGAGCAGGACUUAUCAUGGUCUUCAUUUGAAAGGUUAGACAAAGAACCUCUGAGUACUCAUCUUCAGAGGGCCCCACCAAAACCUUCAGCAUAUCCGAGAAAAAGUUACCACUUAGCUGUCAUCAGUGGAUUCUGAGAAAGUUUUAUUUCACAGGAACUCUGGUUGAGCUUGCUAAUCCAUCAGAUACAGACAUCGAUAUUCCUGCUAACUUUGAUUAGAAGGUUAUAAGUUACCUUCUCUUUGGAAAAGAUUGGUGAAUCCUAGAGGCUGUGCUUGUGACCACCAUGCAAUCAAAUCUUGUGAGCUGAGGGUGAUACUUUUAUUAACUCUAGCCGUGAUUAAUUUUAAACCUAUUGUAUGUAUGAAAACUAGAUAGUGUGAAUGCAUCCUACCAGCCUAUUCCCUGUAAUUUGCCUUUCAGGGCUGUAGUUAAGGCAUAUGUUAGCGUUUGUGAUUAACAUAGCUUGACAUAGACAUGUGCUGCAUGGGUUGCUCUCUUGAGACAUCCCCCAAUGUAAAUUUAAAGAAGCAGCACUUCAGUAAUCAAUAGCAAGGCUCAUUCAUCUUAA